UACGAAGGGGGCUAGCGUUGCUCGGAAUGACUGGGCGUAAAGGGCGCGUAGGCGGAUGGCACAGUCAGAUGUGAAAUUCCCGGGCUUAACCUGGGGGCUGCAUUUGAUACUGCAUGGCUAGAGUAUGGAAGAGGGAAGUGGAAUUUCCGGUGUAGCGGUGAAAUGCGUAGAUAUCGGAAGGAACACCAGUGGCGAAAGCGACUUCCUGGUCCAAUACUGACGUUCAUGUGCGAAAGCGUGGGGAGCAAACAG
rnacentral:rRNA from 1 species